GCUUCCGCGUCCCUGUAACUACGGAAACAUUCUAACCAAUCAUAAAAGCGAAGAGAAACGUGCCAAAUUUUCAACCAAUCAAAACUGCUUUUACUGCAGCGUCUAGCAGUUUGAAACAGUGCUUUUAAACAGUAGAGUGGGUACUUACAGAUUGAAGGAUUACGUUGCGUUACAGAGGAACAAAUACCUUUAAAACACUCACUGAGAAGAUGUCAUCCGAUGAAGGGGAGCACAAUAGUCCAGUUUUACCAAGAGAUUCAGACCGAGGCAGCUCCGUUUCCUCUGUGCUUCAGGUGAGUUAUCAUAGCCACCAUCACAAAAAUCACUAAGGUAUAUGAUUCAGAUUUUCUGUCAUUUUUGACAGUUUAAAGGAUGCUUUGACUUUGUUCCUUCUCUUUCAAAUUUUCAGGACGAGUAUGAAGAACUUCUUCGAUAUGCUGUCGUGACUCCUAAAUAUGAACCGAGUUUCCCAUCACAGCCGUUGAGCUCAACUCAACUCUCCAAGAGUUUACAGCAUACGACUAAAAGAGAAACACCUGCUCAACACACUGCAGAUAAUGAAGUGCACUCAAACAACGGGGCUAUGCCAACUCCGUCAUUAGAAGAAUCCAGACCACAAAGUCGAACAUCCGAGGGUAACUUCAUGAAGCCAUUUAAAUUAGAAUCUCUCAGCCCUCUUGCUUUUGUGAGGCUUUCAAAUUUGUCUUUGACAAUGUCAUGACAAAACGACUGAGAACCACUCUUUGUUUUAUUUCAGAUAAUGAAGUGCACUCAAACAACGGGGCUAUGCCAACUCCGUCAUUAGAAGAAUCCAGACCACAAAGUCGAACAUCCGAGGCUGAGAGCAUGGCAGACAGGCCUGUGUCAUCUGAGGAAAGAUCAGCGAGGUCGCAGACUGGAUCAGACAGAUCAGGACAAAGCAGCCCUGAUGCUCUGACCACCGUCAUGACUGAGAUGUUCAUCUCAGAGGAGAACCUGAACAAGAUGGAGAACAUUUUGGACACCUGGACCACAAACCUUAAGAGUAAUGUGAUGAUGGAGCUGAGGAAGUGGAAACUGGCCUUUGUGGAGCAGCACAGACUGCAGCUUAAGAAGGAGAGGGAGAAACAUGCAGCCCAUAUGGCUGCUGUAAAUGCUGAGAUGGAUGGUCUGAAAGACCUGCUCAACACCUACAAGAUCUCUAACCAGAGAAAAGAUGAGGUGAUCGUGAAUCUGAGCAGGGCGGUUGACAGGCAGAGGGAGAAGCUGGAGCUGAUGAGGAGUUUCACCCAGUGGAGACUACAGCAGUGUGCAGCCAGAGAGGAGGCUCAGGGGGGCAGACUGGCGGAGCAGCACUAUCAUUUGCAGCUCAAGAGGAAGGUGUGGGCAGGCUGGCACUCACUCAUCCAGAACAGGUGGCGGGAGCGUGUGGAGAGAGCAUGUUGUGCCAGAGCAGAGGACGUCUGCAUGCAGCUCUCUACAGACUACGAGACCAAGAUGGCACAGUAUGUAGAGGAGCUCCAGAAAGCUCAAGCUGAAAUCCACAGGCUGCACACGGAGCGAGAGCGCUAUGAGGACUCUAUGAAGAAAGCUUUCAUGCGUGGGGUCUGUGCUCUCAACAUCGAGGCCCUUAGCAUGUUCAACACUGGAGAAGCGGGUAGACUGGACCAUGGUAAGAUGAUAAGAGAGCAAUGUAACUGAAAUGUAGUAAGGACUU
rnacentral:lncRNA from 1 species